rnacentral:rRNA from 1 species
UCGGGAAUUUUGGGCAAUGGGCGAAAGCCUGACCCAGCAACGCCGCGUGAGGGAUGAAGUAUUUCGGUAUGUAACCCUCGAAAGAAUGGGAAGAAUAAAUGACGGUACCAUUUAUAAGCUCCGGCUAACUACGUGCCAGCAGCCGCGGUAAUACGUAGGGAGCAAGCGUUGUUCGGAUUUACUGGGCGUAAAGGGCGCGUAGGCGGCGCGGUAAGUCACUUGUGAAAUCUCUGAGCUUAACUCAGAACGGCCAAGUGAUACUGCUGUGCUAGAGUGCGGAAGAGGCAACCGGAAUUCUUGGUGUAGCGGUGAAAUGCGUAGAUAUCAAGAGGAACACCUGAGGCGAAGGCGGGUUGCUGGGCCGACACUGACGCUGAUGCGCGAAAGCCAGGGGAGCAAACG